AUUGAACGCUGGCGGCAUGCCUUACACAUGCAAGUCGAACGGCAGCACGGGUGCUUGCACCUGGUGGCGAGUGGCGAACGGGUGAGUAAUACAUCGGAACGUACCUUAUCGUGGGGGAUAACGCAGCGAAAGCUGUGCUAAUACCGCAUAAGCCCUGAGGGGGAAAGCGGGGGAUCGAAAGACCUCGCGCGAUUAGAGCGGCCGAUGCCUGAUUAGCUUGUUGGUGGGGUAAAAGCCCACCAAGGCGACGAUCAGUAGCUGGUCGGAGAGGACGAUCAGCCACACUGGGACUGGGACAAGGCCCAGACUCCUACGGGAGGCAGCAGUGGGGAAUUUUGGACAAUGGGGGCAACACUGAUCCAGCAAUGCCGCGUGAGUGAAGAAGGCCUUCGGGUUGUAAAGCUCUUUUGUCAGGGAAGAAACACCGGCUCUAACACAGUCCGGGAAUGACGGUACCUGAAGAAUAAGCACCGGCUAACUACGUGCCAGCCGCCGCCGUAA
rnacentral:rRNA from 1 species